GAGGCCAAAACCAGGAACUGGGCAUCAAGGGCUGCCUCUCUGGUUCUGCUCACUCCGUCAAACAGCACGUUGGCUUCCUCCAGGGCCUCACUCAGCGUGUCGCUGGCCGUGUUCACAAUGUCCUCGCGGUUCUGCUGCACGGUGUAGAUGAGCUGCCGGUACUGCCUGCGGAUUUUGCGGCACUUCUCUCGAUCCACCACCAGCUCCAGGAGGUGCUGCCAUGCCAGACUCCGGACCAGCUCCCCUCUUUUCUCUUUGCCUCCAGUAAGGGAACAUUUUUCUUUAGACAUGGUGGUGGUGCGCAGGUAACAGCUCUCCCAGGGCUACUACCAUACUACCUACCAACCGUAGCGACGCGAGAUGGCAAAGAUCAAGAUGUAGAACUCUGGGCUCCUUCAGCACCACGUCUGCCUGGACACUGCCAUUCUUCCCACCAUGAUGAUAAUGGACUGAACCUCUGAAGCUGCAAGCCAGUUCCAAUGAAAUGUUUUCCUUUCUAAUACUUUGCCAUGGUCAUGUUGUCCCUUCACAGCAAGGAAACCCUAAGACAGCAUACGUUUUCUAGUAGUGUUGUGGAUUGAACCUUGAACUUAGGGCCAUGGCAAGCCAGGCAAUCCCUCUAUACCACUGGCUGUCACCCCUCCACCGACGGACCAGAAAAUGAUGACCAGCAUACUUGCCACAGAAGGGUAGAUCUAGGUUCUUUUAUAUCCACUCAACUCUGAGCUAGAGAAAGAAAUGCCUGACGGGAAACAAAUUCAACCCAUGGGACUCGUGGUUGUUUCCCAGAGCCUGUGUUUCUUGGUACCCCAUGCCUCUGAGAAUUAAGAGGAAGGUGAUAGGGCGGCCUGAUGAGGAAGGAAAAUCCAGUCCCCGCGCAGCCCCGGCAACCUGUCCCGGUUGUCCCCGCAAAGUGAGAGCUCCUAAUUGGACCGUACAACAUCCUCGCUGCUCGGAACCGCCCCCCGACCCAAAGGCCGCGGCUGCUAUUCAAAGAAUGUUGGGAACCAGAAUCGAGUAAGAGUGUGGGAAUGCGGUAUCAUAGCCCAGAAAACAAUGCGAAAUCCUUCUGUUUCUGAACUGUCAUCUCAGCUGAGAUAGAUGAUCGGGGGCCCUACUGCAUCAACAGCAGUAUAAAACACCCCACCUAGAGAGAGCGCACUCACUUUCCUCAGUCAACUUUCUAGAAGCACUUCAGGAGAUGAGGAAAUUGAAGCUCAAGAGCCCUCGACUUGUGACUAUGACUAAUGGUCGCCGCAGAGCCGGACUCGAAUCACUUUAAUGGAAGAGAAGGCCCUUCCUGCUCGUUUAGCAGCGAGAGACCAACUGACUAGGGUACCAACUAAAUAAAGUUUAUACUAUGAAAACCUUCAUCUAAAUCUGCCCAAUUCACACCUAAACAACCGGAGAAGGGGCACUGCUUAAUUACCACAGUGUAUACAAUAUCACCUUAAUUUGAAUCUAACAACUCAACCACCGUGGACAAUGGCUGCAUGUACCUCAGGGAUAAAGCACUUGCCUGCCGUGUACAAGCUCCUGGGUAUGGCCCCCAGCACCAGAGGAAGAUAAAACAAGGAUAACCUGGAUGGGUCCCACCAUUUCCUUCUGGCAUGCAGUGGACCUCGGAUAUGUAUGAAACAGUGAUAUCUUUUCUUUGUUCUAUUUAAAAGCAUCCUUUUGAGAAAUAUGAAGGUUGUUUUCAGCCCUACUCCUUGUACAUUUUUGGAAAACAGAAAUGUGCCUAAGAAAAUGAAGAUCUAUGUAAAUUCUUAUGAGUAUUAUGUAAUCAC
rnacentral:lncRNA from 1 species